rnacentral:ncRNA from 1 species
ACUGCUGAAUUUAAGUAUAUUACUAAGCGGAGGAAAAGAAACUAACCAGGAUUCCUUCAGUAGUGGCGAGCGAAGAGGAAGAGCCCAGCACCGAAUCCCAGCCCAGCGCCGAAUCCCCGUCCGGUGGGCGGACGAGGGCAAUGUGGCUUACGGAGGACCGCAUGCCCGGUGUCGCACGGAGGCCCCGAGUCCUUCUGAUAGAGGCUCAGCCCGUAGACGGUGUGAGGCCGGUGUCAGCCCCAGUCGCGCCGUGGUCCGGCCUUCUCGGAGUCGGGUUGUGUGGGAAUGCAGACCAAAGCGGCUGGUAAACUCCAUCUAAGGCUAAAUACCGGCACGAGACCGAUAGUCGACAAGUACCUUUAGGGAAAGUUGAAAAGAAUUUUGAAGAGAGUUCAAGAGAGCGUGAAACCGUUGAGGGUUAAAUGGGUGGGGUCCGCGCAGUUCGCUCGGGGAAUCAGCCCAUCGGGCAAGGGUUGGCAGCCGAGCGCCGGUUGGGAUCCUCUACUGAGGGGCAGUUGGCGUGCCACUGAUCCCGGUCAAUCACUCUUUAUUUUGAUUAUCGGUGGUGGCUGCCUGUGAUUGCAUCCCAGGUAAUUGUCUAAAUUUAAACAUCACUUCUGGAUGUAUGCUUCAUUUCAUGCCUCAAUCCCACAACAUACGUGUUUUAUCAUUUAUAUUUAAAAAGCA